AACGAACGCUGGCGGCAUGCCUAACACAUGCAAGUCGAACGAGACCUUCGGGUCUAGUGGCGCACGGGUGCGUAACGCGUGGUAACCUGCCCUUAGGUUCGGAAUAACUCCCCGAAAGGGGUGCUAAUACCGGAUAAUGUCUUCGGACCAAAGAUUUAUCGCCUUUGGAUGGGCCCGCGUUGGAUUAGCUAGUUGGUAGGGUAAAAGCCUACCAAGGCGACGAUCCAUAGCUGGUCUGAGAGGAUGAUCAGCCACACUGGGACUGAGACACGGCCCAGACUCCUACGGGAGGCAGCAGUGGGGAAUAUUGGACAAUGGGCGAAAGCCUGAUCCAGCAAUGCCGGGUGAGUGAUGAAGGCCUUAGGGUUGUAAAGCUCUUUUACCCGGGAUGAUAAUGACAGUACCGGGAGAAUAAGCACCGGCUAACUACGUG
rnacentral:rRNA from 1 species